GACAGUGUACACACCUGACUCUGCUGGGUGAGAUUGACACUUCAGGCUGUGUGCUCUCCUUAAACCUUUACAACCUGUCUUAUGGUGGGAAGAACAUCAGGCACAUAAUGAUUCAGGAAUAUUCUAAAGAAUGCUGGACAAUGAUCCUCAAGACCACCAGGGUCUUCCUUGAAAUCAUGCUUAUGUAUGACAGUGAUCUUGGAAGAUAAUGGCAUAUGGAGAAGAAAAUGAAGGCACAGCUAUGAGAAGCUUGGAGUGGCGGGCCAUGGAACACACUUGGCUGCACAAAGAGCCCUUGAUGGGGUGCAGGGGGGAUAUUUGCUCUUGUCAUCUGCAGCUUUUGUGGUUCCUUUAAUUUGGUGUUUGUGAGCAUGGUCUAGAACAGGCCUGCAGCCAGCUCAGCAAGGAGUACAAUAGCUGUUUCCUUCAGGGUACAAACAGAAGCCUGCUGCCAGGGCAACAAGCCUGGGAAACUUCUGGAUUUAGAGCUUGUCAGCCCUUUGAUUGUAGAGAUCAGAACUGAAUGGAGGUAGCAGAGGGGAGAAGACUUAGUCAGGGUGAGAGAGGACUCUGAAAAGACCAGAAGAACUCAGGAUUAACUCAGCCUCAGGAACAGAUGACCAUGAGGCCCUGGAGCUGAGACCGUACCUUCAUGAGUCAGGGACUUCAUGAGUAAGGAGGUAGUCUGGCUGGAGAUGGCUCAAGAUUUCUCAAAGCCAUAACUUUCUCAAAGAUGUGAAAUACUCAGCCUCUGGCCUACCUGGAAUCAUGUGACUGAGCUCCUUAUAGAGAGAGGAACAGAUCUCAAAGGGAGAGGUGAUGAGUACAGGAUAUACUUUGCAAAGUUUAAACUCAGCUAACACAGACCAGAGUCAAAUGAAUAUA